rnacentral:rRNA from 1 species
ACCCCGCUGAACUAAGCCAUAUAUAAGGCGGAGGAGAAGAAACUAAUGUGGAUUCCCCUAGUAACGGCGAGUGAAGCGGGAAAAGCUCAAUUUUGAAAUCUCCAGGGGCGACCUUGGCGAAUUGUAGUUAAGAGAAGCGCUUUUUGAAUUGGGACUGCCUAAAGUUCUUUGGAAUAGGACAUCAGAGAGGGUGAGAAUCCCGUAUGGUCAAGAGUCUUCAGUUCUCUACAGGGCGUUUUCGAAGAGUCGGGUUGUUUGGGAAUGCAGCCCAAAAUGGGUGGUAAAUUUCAUCUAAAGCUAAAUAUGGGCACGAGACCGAUAGCAAACAAGUACCGUGAGGGAAAGAUGAAAAGAACUUUGAAAAGAGAGUUAAAAGUACGUGAAGCAGUUAAAAUGGAAACGAUUAAAGUUAGCAGUGCUUGCCUAGCAAUCAACCCUCGGUACAUUAUCUUGUAUGGCUGGUGAGCCUCAAAAACCACCAGUUGUAUAAGUAAUGGUGUAGUUGUGGGUGCACUUGUUGGGAUUGAGCAGGUCAACAUCAGUUUGGCUUUACGGGGAAAGGUGCCUAGGAAGGUGGCUCGGCCAGCAAUGGUUGAGUGUUACAGCCUGGGUACUGAGACGUAAGCUAGACUGAGGUUUAUUACAAAGCGCAUGCCUAUAAGGCUAACGGGUAUUUCGAUCUAGUAUCUCCUUCUUUGCCGGAUUUACAGCCUCAAAAACUGUGGUUUGGUGUCGGUUUGGGUACUAGCUUCGGAGGCCGAGUUUACAGUGCGCUAAGGAUGUUGACGAAAUGGCUUUAACCGACCCGUCUUGAAACACGG